GGGCCCGUAGCUCAGCCGGUUAGAGCACCUGCCUUUUAAGCAGGGUGUCAUGGGUUCAAGUCCCAUCGGGCCCUCCA
rnacentral:tRNA from 1 species